GGCUACAUAGUUGACAAAGAGCACUAUAAACACAUGGCUACAUCACAUAUGAGGUAAUUCUAAACUCAAUCCUAAAUCCUUAUCUUUCUCGUUCUCUCUGUUUCUCUCUCUCUCUCUGUCUCUCUCUCUUCCUUUCUCCCUCCGUCUCUUUCGCUCCUUUGUUACAAGAUGGGUGUUCCAAUAAAUCAAGAAUUCUACAAGCUUCCUCCCUUCAUA
rnacentral:lncRNA from 1 species